UUGUGGGAGCCUAAUUAAAUCAAAACCCUAGGUCAAAUAAUUCCUUCCCUUUGGGGAUUAUUUGACCUAAUUGGGAAUUAUUCAAUUUAAUUGGGGAUUACCCAAUUAAAUAGAAUACUACCUAAUCGGGUCGAGAAUUAAUUCUAUUCCUACCCCAAUUCCCAAUUAAAGGAGGAGUUACCUAUUUAAGUCGGGAUUUGAUUUGAU
rnacentral:lncRNA from 1 species